GUGUGUUGAGUUCUAUGCGCAGUAUUAUGCGAACCUACUGGCACCUUACUUAGGGAUGAGUGAAAAAGAAGCUAUUAAGGUCAUAUACUCCAUUUCUUUGGAUGCUUAUUGUGGUUUCGGAGCUGUUUUGACGGAAGACACGGUCGAAAAAUUACAAGGACGAGACGACAUCAUUAUGGUGAUACCCGAUAUAUAUGUCAACACCCUCCACAAACUGUAUGCAGGUAAUGUUACAUUGUAUCAAUAGGUUAAGUCUAACAUGAAAAGUCAAUGAAAUGGUGCAUCGUGCAUUAAUCUCGAAUAACAUUAUAACGAAUACGAAUUUUAUAAAAUUCACCGUUGGAUUAAAAUGUUAUAUCAUAUAGAUUAUCCG